rnacentral:lncRNA from 1 species
AGCCAGAGCCUGAACUGACAUAAGGCGGUGACAUGGCGCACUCUUCAAGCUCAGGACACCUGGCUGGGGGCAAGAACUAUUUAUUAAAACUUAAAAUAGCCAGGUGUGGUGGCACACACCCUUAACCCUGGCACCCGGGGGAGGCAGAAGCAGGCAGAUCUCGGGACCAGCCCAGCCUACACAGUGAGAUCCUGGCCAGGCCAGGCUACAUAAUGAGAUUUUGUUUCAAAACAAAAACAACUGAGUGUGGCAUCACAUGCCUUUAAUUGCAGCAGCUGGGAUGCAGGGGCAGGUGGAUUGCGGUGAGUUUCAGGCUAGCCUGUAGUGAGUUCUAGGCCAGUAGAGGCUCUGUUGUAAGACCCUGUCUCAAAAUAAAACAAAAGGAAAAACCUUAAAAGGG